AAGUGAUGAAGCAAAAUUGCAAUCAGUUUCGACCUGAUCUUAGAUAAUAAAACUUAUCCUCACUUU
rnacentral:tRNA from 1 species